GAAUAUUUGAUAAGGAGGUCCAAAAUAUCUCAUCUAAAUCUAACACAUCCCUUAAAAAACACAUGAGAAUGUGAGGUAGCUGAACUCUGAACUGAAAUCCUCAGCAGUUAGUUCAGUUAUGGUUGCUGAGAUUCCUUUCAAACACAAAAGAACCUCAGAUUUUGGUUCCUAAUUGACAACCAUGGCGGGUGCGUGCAGAGCACCCAUUUGCCAUCUUCCUCCGCAGAAGCCCAAAACCAGAAUCCAGAAUUCUCACAGCAGAAGAGCUCAACUUCCAAAUAGGCGUUUGUUCCUCUUCUCUCUGCCUCUCUCUAGUUUCCUUCUCCUUCCUGUUCCAAGCUUUGGUGAUGGUAACAAUGCAAUCAUUAUUGAUAAACUUCAAAGUGGGCCAUCUUCAUUUGCUGCCACAAUGUAUGACCCAGUAAGUGCGGCUGAAAGAGAAGCAAGUGCUUUGGUUUCAGAGAGAGUGUCUCAGGCAGUGGAGUUGCUGGAGAAAGGGAGGGAAUUGCAGACUCAGGGUGACUUUAGUGGUGCUCUUGAUUACUUUUCUAAGGUUAUUGAAAGCUACAAAGACUUAGCAUUCUCAGAAUAUGCAAGGGUAGGAAGAGCAUUGGCCCUAUAUGAAGUUGGUGACAGAGAAGAAGCAAUUGCAGAGAUGGAAGACGUUUCAAUAUCUCUAAAAGGGUAUCCAGAAAUACAUGCAGCUCUUGCAGCAGCCUUAUAUGCAGAUAAGCACGCCACUUUGCUUGCUGAAAACCAGUUUGCCAUUGCAACUCUUCUUGAUCCCCAUUUUACAGACCUUUCAUAUGUCAGAGACACAAAGCACUGGCCUCCAAGUUUGAUCAGUUCUCUGCAGCACUUCAUCACACUAUCUUAAGACCUCACAGGAUAUUUAUACGUUUUGUUUAUCCCAUACUAAGCAGUGCUAGCUAUAUGACGACUUCGAAGGUAUCUCUCAAAAUUUGUGACAAUGUUUCCAAUUCAGAAGCUAGAUUGCUCAACUCUAACACUAAAUUGAUGUAAUAUUGAAAUAAGCUUUCAAUCGAAAAUUUUGUGCUUGUAUGAAUUCUAAGCCAUUCAGGGAGUGUUAAUAAGGUAUCAUCUCCUUUUUUCCCCCUUUUUCGCUGCUAACUGACCUUGAAACGUGAUUGAAAUGAACAUCGAUGAUAAACCCUUCCACCUUUUUCUUAUGUUAAA